rnacentral:rRNA from 1 species
UGGGGAAUAUUGGACAAUGGGCGCAAGCCUGAUCCAGCCAUGCCGCGUGGGUGAAGAAGGCCUUCGGGUUGUAAAGCCUUUUGUCCGGAAAGAAAAGCACUGGAUUAAUACUUCGGUGUUCUGACCGGUACCGGAAGAAUAAGCACCGGCUAACUUCGUGCC